rnacentral:lncRNA from 1 species
GAGUAUAUGAGAGCAAAGAGCGAAGAACCAUGGGAAGUGAGAAAAGCUGGUGGGGGGAAGACAAGGAAGGAACAACUGCCUGUGAGCCUUGAACAAGCUACUUCCAUUUUCUGGCUCUUUAGUCUCCUCAUUUGUAAAAUGAGGGGGCUGGAGUAAGUAAGCUCUAUAAGGCUCUCAGCUGUGACAUCUAUGCAUAAUCACAGAAGAUCGAAGUGUACAGAACACCAUGGAAACUGAAGAGAGAUUCUGAAAGGAGGCUUUAAGAGGUCACUUGCAUCCAAUGCUGCAGAAGUGUCAGAGACUGAGGACUUAAAUGAAGCCACUGAUUAGCAAUUUAAAGAUCCUCUCCAAGACAGGGUCUCACUGAGUGCAGCGGCACGAUCUUGGCUCACUGCAACCUCCGCCUCCCAGGUCCAAGCGAUUCUCCUGCCUCAGCCUCCUGAGUAGCUGGCAUUACAGGUAUGAACCAUCAUGCCCAGCUAAUUUUUGUGAUUUUAGUAGAGACAGGGUUUCACCAUGUUGACCAGGCUGGUCUGGAACUCCUGACCUCAAGUGAUCCGUCUGCCUCGGCCUCCUAAAGUGCUGGGAUUACAGGCAUGAGCCACCGUGCCUGGCCGCUUUCUGCAUUUUUAGUGUCACUCAACCCUUGUUGUCUCUGAUUGUCAAGGCAACGACUACGUGUAAAGUAAUGUGGACAGAGUCUUGGACAGAGAAAUGCCUCAGAAAUGUUUUGUGAUGAAGAUGAAGGAGAGGCGCUGGAAGCAGAAACUGGGGAGGGGGUAGGAUUCGUGUCUCCACUUACUCUCCACCCCAGCAGGGACAGAAAGCAUGCCUCCUCUUUCCUGUUCAUUGGCUACAUUCCUCUCUGAGGCCAGAGGGGCAAGCUGGACAAUGCAAAUGAACUUUGGAUGAGACUUAGCCAAGGGGCCUCCAAAGGGAGAGCAGCGGGGCUGCUUAGGAGGGAAUAAAAAAAUAAGGUGGUCACCUAUUUCUUAGCACCUUCUUUGUUUUCCCAAUCGGCAAACUCCUGUCCUCUCCUGGAGAUCCAAGACCAAAAUGCAAAAGCUCC